rnacentral:tRNA from 1 species
AAGCCCAUAAUUUAAUGGUUAGAAUAAUCUCUUGAUAGGAUAUUUGUAGGAGUUCGAAUCUUCUUGGGCUUA